GUUUAAUAUUUUCCACUAGCUUGUGAUGUAGUAUUUGUGUCAUGUGGCGUGUACGUACAUGAGCCGUAGAAAAGUCUAUUCUUCAUUUCAGACAUGCACAUCAAUAACGACUGACAACUGGCAGAACGAGCACUACGACACGAACAAUAUUCUACUAGACGAAUCUGACGGAAUCAUGACAGAUGAUGGCGAAUUGAUAGCGAAAUAUUCGAUAAAGAUUGUACAACUUCAAAUACACGGAAGAUGACGAGAACGAACUACAGCAGCGAAGGGUACAACAAAUCCAGGAAUCAGGGACAAAACGGAUUGAUUAAGAUGAGCCACCACAUGGAAUUGUAAAAUCGGGGCUGGAGCACGAUCAAUGUAACAAAAAGACGUUCAGAUAUUGGAUCAAUACCCAACCAAAGAGAAUAGUGAAAGAGACGCAGAGUGAAAAUCAGUCAAAACGGCAACACUCCCUUUACGAUGAUUUCAACACUAGAAUUUGGCAACCGUUUCCACAGGCAGCACUUUAAAUGACUCCUAUUAUAUUUUGAAAACAAACCUUUUAUCGAUCGUUGGAUUUGUUUAUCAAACGAUGUGCAUUUUGAAACAAAGAGAUGAAAUAAUUCUAAAGCUUGUUUUUACUCAUACAUAGACUCUAGAAUGCACCUUACAAUCACGAUUGCACUAAAUUCUGACGAAAAUUCAAAUUUCUUUUUUGAUAGAUUUACAAUACUUAUCUCCUCCAACUCAGGCAUGAGUAAUGUUUAUUUACAUUGCACGAUUGGUCUGCUCAAUAAGGUAUUUUUGGCUUCACACUAUUCGUCUCUUUCCCUAUUCUCUUUGUACCCAACAUACAACUAUUAGGUUACUGACCGAUCACAUGAACUAAUCGUAUUAGUUCAUACGAUUCUCGAACAACUCAACACCACGGGAGAACAUCAACCGGGACUUUGAGCGGCGCCUGAAGGCCAUGAAAAUCAUUCCUUAUGAAAUCGAACCAGGUUCGAAAGCGGAAGCCACCUCUCGAAAACUCAGUACUAUCACUGGUAGGAUCACAAGCGCAAACAUCUACCCCUUGAAAUGUGGAUAUCCGAAAGCAAAUCCGGCAGUUACUUGCCCAUGCUGACAUCAAAGUUUCUUUCCAACGAUUUGUCUCUGGUAGAUUACUGUUGGGAAAAGGUAAACAAACAGGUACUUAGUCCGUGCCCAUUCGAACAAACUGAUUCAGCAAAUCUCCGCUGACAUGGUCAAUAACUACGAGCUCAAUUUUGGUUACUUCUCGGAUUCGAUCGUCAUUCUUAAUUUAAGGGCGAAAUCGCCCUUCGUGGGGACGUGGAAAAAGAUUCGUGAAUGGAACCAAAUCUGUCAACAUUCUCAGUGCUCAUCCCGGCAAUUAAUCAAUCAACAGAAGAUACUGCAGAUUGCCAUUCAAGGGCUGUUCAAACAGUUCUGAUGACUGGAAAGCCGCUGAACUUUUUUUUAAUUUCAAUUAUAGAGGUUUUAACCUUAAGGUCAUUCGCCUCCUCGGGUUAGAAAAAUCUCUUAUGAAAAAUUUCUAACCCAAUGUGCGAGGUCGAGACUCGAACCCAGGUGCGCAGCGUACAAGGCAAUCGAUUUACCAACUACGCUACGCCCACCCCCUCCCGCUGAACUUCCCACAGAUGCGUACCCAAUCAAUUAGCAUCAGAGCGCUCUGAUAGGCAUCAUUCAUCUAUCAAAAUGGAAUUCCGUAACGAAGCUUGCAUCAACCGUUGUUGUCUACCCGACGCAUUCUCAGCCAUUGAUCCAGAUGUAUAAGUAAUUCUGAUAACUACUUUGGUAGACUCCAGGAUGUCACUGAUACCGGUGUUACUACAUAUAGAUUGGAUUGAUUAGUAGUUACACAAGUCGAACGACUGGUGGUAUUGGUGGUAUACCGGGUUACAAAAACCGGAGCUACAUUGAUGGGUUUAUAAAUGCAAGAAUAAAAUAAAUAAAGUUUUAUAUGAUA